UCGCUGUGUGUUAUAUGUGUCACACGGGACUGCCGGUCUUAAGCCGGAGGAAGGUGGGAUGAUGUCAAGUCAGCAUGGCCUUUAUAUCCUGGGCUACACACACGCUACAAUGGCCAACACAAUAGGUUGCUAAGCCGCGAGGUGGCGCCAAUCCAUAAAGUUGGUCUCAGUUCAGAUUGUAGGCUGCAACCCGCCUGCAUGAAGAUGGAGUUGCUAGUAACCGCAGGUCAGCUAUACUGCGGUGAAUACGUUCCCGGGGCUU
rnacentral:rRNA from 1 species